AUGAGAUCUGUGGAUGGGAACAUGUCUCCAGUCGAGGUGUUGAUGAAGGAAAUUCAGAAAUGCUCAGACAAAUGGAACAAGCAGACACAUGAAUUCACGUCGCCCUGGCCUUCAGAGGGGACAUUUGAUCUGAGGCAGUGUGCAGAGAUGCAGGGUUUUAUAAAAACCUAUAAGAUAAAAGACAAAUCUGUAAAGCGAGGCCUUAAACGGGAAAAAGAAAAUGCAGUGUUGCAAUUGUUUAUUAACUGUGCAAAAAUGAUGGGCAAAAAGACGACUCAAUGUGGUGAUAAUCAAUUUAAUCAGAUCUCUAAAACUAAGUCUCUUUCAGAUGCAUCCCAGAUGAAUGCAGAAGAAACAAAACCUUUAUGGACGAAGAAGCCAGUUCACCCUGUAGCUGAUCCAGAAGGGACAGACAGGGCAGUGAAAAGGGAUGAGUUGUUAGAACUGACCGACAUUUAUUUAAAAACAGAGAAAAUCUCAAUUGGAAAUUCCUGCAGUGAAAGUGAUCUGCGUGACAGAGCAGUUAGAUCACUGUGGGCUGAGUCAGAUGAGGAAUCAGUGUGUGUGGGUGACGAACGGGUAGAUGAGGUUUCUGAUGGACUUCCUCUGCUGAUCAAAAGGGCAAAGUGUCAAAAUCUGCCCUGGCCUUCAAGACCAGAUCAGAAUGAUCUGACUGACACUGUGGGACUUUGCAACUUGUCACUAGAACAAAUAACUAAGCAUGUGAUUCAUGCUGUUGAGCUGCGUCAGAAGCAGGCAAAGGAGGCAGUGAAAGAAGCAACACGCCAGCAGCAGCGAACAGAGGGGGAGAAAAGAGAGAGGAGGAUGGUGUCUGCUCAACCAGCCAGCGUGCCUCAGACCCCACCUACACCACCAGGCAUGGCCACACCUCAGGUGAUGUACAUUCUACCAGGAGGGUGGACAAGACGACCUCCUAUGAGGAGAGGAGGGUUCCCUGCAGACGAAGGCAGAGGAACAGGAGGCAGCCACAAAGGAGGCGUGAGAUGCUACUGCUGUGGGAAGACUGGUCACGUAAGAAGCCAUUGCUUUGCUUGGCUACGAGGCUCACGAGGAGUGCCUAGACCAAAGGGGUCCGCUGAUCAAUGUGGAGGCCCCUCAGCUGGUUACUAG
rnacentral:lncRNA from 1 species